CGAAAGCCUGACGGAGCAACGCCGCGUGAGGGAGGAAGGCCUGUGGGUUGUAAACCUCUUUUCUCAGGGAAGAAGAACUGACGGUACCUGAGGAAUCAGCAUCGGCUAACUCCGUGCCAGCAGCCGCGGUAAUACGGAGGAUGCAAGCGUUAUCCGGAAUUAUUGGGCGUAAAGCGUCCGUAGGCGGUUUUUCAAGUCUGCUGUUAAAGCGUGCAGCUUAACUGCAUAUCGGCAGUGGAAACUGAGAGACUAGAGUGUAGUAGGGGUAGAGGGAAUUCCCAGUGUAGCGGUGAAAUGCGUAGAUAUUGGGAAGAACACCGGUGGCGAAAGCGCUCUACUGGGCCGUAACUGACACUGAUGGACGAAAGCUAGGGGAGCG
rnacentral:rRNA from 1 species